UACGUAGGGCGCAAGCGUUGUCCGGAAUUAUUGGGCGUAAAGAGCUCGUAGGCGGUUUGUCGCGUCUGCUGUGAAAACCUAAGGCUCAACCUUGGGCUUGCAGUGGGUACGGGCAGACUAGAGUGCGGUAGGGGUGACUGGAAUUCCUGGUGUAGCGGUGGAAUGCGCAGAUAUCAGGAGGAACACCGGUGGCGAAGGCGGUUCUCUGGGCCUGACCUGACGCUGAGGAGCGAAAGCGUGGGGAGCGAACAGG
rnacentral:rRNA from 1 species